rnacentral:rRNA from 1 species
UACAGAGGUGGCAAGCGUUGUUCGGAAUUACUGGGCGUAAAGGGCUCGUAGGUGGCCAACUAAGUCAGACGUGAAAUCCCUCGGCUUAACCGGGGAACUGCGUCUGAUACUGGAUGGCUUGAGUUCGGGAGAGGGAUGCGGAAUUCCAGGUGUAGCGGUGAAAUGCGUAGAUAUCUGGAGGAACACCGGUGGCGAAGGCGGCUUUCUGGACAAAUACCGACGCUGAGGCACGAAAGCUAGGGGAGCAAACAGG